GGCCUACAUGCCAUUCCCUGCAAAAAAGUCCUCAGCAUGUAAGAUUCUGGAUAUGAAAUUCCAUAUGUCAAGACACUUUUCUUUUAAUCAUUUGUCCACAGUAACACUGGUUGGUUCAUAGAAUAAAAUGGCCAUGGAAUAGCUAUCUCCACUUACGUGUAAAACCUGCAUUCUGCAAAUUUGGAUAAUAUGUUCUCCACAAAAUAAUGAUUGCAUAUCCAAAAUUUUAAUUAAAAGAUGAGACUUUAGAAUAGUUAUUCCAUGGAAUAAUGAUUCCACAUUUAAAUUUUGAACCAAAGCUAAGAAUAGCUAUUCUAUUCCCAUCUUGUUCCAUAGAAACCAAUACUAAAAGACAGCUAAAAAAAAUUCCAGAGCAUUAUUUCCAUCUUCUAUGACAGGAAAUCAUAUCAAUUCUAAAGUAUCACUAGAAUUGCCUAUCAAGUAUAUCAAGAGUAGUGAAAUUACAAUAUUUAUUAAACAGUAAAUUACAAAUGGUAUGCCACUAUUAAAGAGUAGAUCCCUGUAAAUUUAAAGCUGAAAGUUGGUCCUUUACUCUCUCCCUCUCUAUCUGUAU
rnacentral:misc_RNA from 1 species